UGGAAACGGCUUCUCUUGAACCCUUC
rnacentral:piRNA from 1 species